UACGGAGGGUGCAAACGUUGCUCGGAAUCAUUGGGCGUAAAGCGCACGUAGGCGGCCUGAUAAGUCGGGUGUGAAAGCCCUGGGCUCAACCCAGGAAGUGCACACGAAACUGUCAGGCUUGAAUAUGGAAGAGGGUCGCGGAAUUCCUGGUGUAGCGGUGAAAUGCGCAGAUAUCAGGAGGAACACCGGUGGCGAAGGCGGUUCUCUGGGCCUUACCUGACACUGAGGAGCGAAAGCGUGGGGAGCGAACAGG
rnacentral:rRNA from 1 species